rnacentral:snoRNA from 1 species
AGCAGUUUAUGAUGAUCAACAAGGGACUUAAUACUGAUACAUGAUGUCACCUUUUAUUGUUCUGAAUCUGU